GAUGAACGCUAGCUACAGGCUUAACACAUGCAAGUCGAGGGGCAUCAGGAACAUAGCUUGCUAUGUUUGCUGGCGACCGACGCACGGGUGCGUAACACGUAUCCAAUCUGCCCGUUACUCGGGGAUAGCCUUUCGAAAGAAAGAUUAACACCCGAUGGUAUUAUGAUGAGGCAUCUCAUUAUAAUUAAAGAUUUAUCGGUAACGGAUGAGGAUGCGUAUGAUUAGUUAGUUGGCGGGGUAACGGCCCACCAAGACUACGAUCAUUGGGGGUUCUGAGAGGAAGGUCCCCCACACUGGAACUGAGACACGGUCCAGACUCCUACGGGAGGCAGCAGUGAGGAAUAUUGGUCAAUGGACGAGAGUCUGAACCAGCCAAGUAGCGUGAAGGAUGACUGCCCUAUGGGUUGUAAACUUCUUUUGUUUGGGAAUAAAGUUAGGUACGUGUACCUAUUUGUAUGUACCAUUCGAAUAAGCAUCGGCUAAUUCCGUGCCAGCCGCCGCCGUAACAC
rnacentral:rRNA from 1 species